GAGCCGGGAGAAGCGGCGCGCCGCCAGGAACCCCCGCGCCACCGCCGCCGCGCCUGCCUCCAGCAGCUCUCGGCCACGCGACCGUGCGGUCAGCGGCGCUUGGAGGGCGGCCGGAGCUGGGCCUGAGCCUGGAGACUCGCCUGAUCCCGGGCGGCCGAACCACCAUCACCACAACCGCCCCACCCCCGCCGUCGCCUCGUGGGGCCCCGGCCCCCUCCCGGGUCCCCUUCUCUCCUCAGACAUGGUGGGAUGUACUCUGAUCUAGAGCAGGCAGCUGGCCAGAGGCCCACAGGGAGCUCAGUGAUUGGCCUCAGAUGACCUUGGGGACAAAGAUUGUCCUGUGAAGGGAAGUGAUGGCACAGGCUCUGAUCAGCUCUUCUGGGAACAGACAGAGAAGUGAGAAUUCCUGCCAAAGCCACAGGAUGAACACAGAGCCAAGAACCUGAACCAGAAAAAUCCAGCAGGAAAGGAACCUGCACUAGCCACCAUCCUGAGGCUGCUGUACAGGGAGCAAUCCUACCGCAGGGACUUGGCAGGAGACCAGGGGCCUGCUCCCCAGUCCUCCUCGAGGGCCUCUGUCACCGACCUGCUUGUCUAGGAUCUCCUUUCUUUCUGCUUGUGCCACAUCUUUCAGGCCUGUUCUGGGUCUGAUGUGCUAUAGAACACUCUGUUCAGGCACUUGGGAAAUAGAGACUUCAUCACCAGCAUUUCCACCCCCAAAGAACUAGGCAGCACACUGGGAAGUUGCCAAAGGAAGGGACUCCAGCCUCCCAGGAGUUAACAACAUUUCUCCCCAGCUAUCCUCCCCUUGGUGCUCCUCUUCCUCCCUCCUCCUGCUCACAGCAGGCAGGGCCUGGAACCAGGAGCCAUGCUGCUGUGCUGUUGCCAGGGGAGCUGGGAGGCAGAUCGGAGCUAUGCAGGGAAAAGGCUCGGCCUGUCAGAGUGUCUGAGAUGAACCACCGCCAUCCCUGUGCAGCUGGGCUCCAUGUGUCUCAGGGCUCUUGUUCUGUGCCUGAGAACGGUGAAGCCCAGCGAGGUUCAAGGGCACACUCGCUAUUCAUCAGUCGGGGGUUCUUGACGGUCCUGCCUCUCCCAGGGAUGGGUUCCCCCCUUCCUCUUUCUCUCCCUCCUAUGAUACAUUCCUGGGUGCCUGUGGUGAGGACUGCACACCCCCUUCUCCACAGCCCCCCCAAACCCUGAAUCAACUCCUAUUAAGGAGGCCAGGCGAGACAGGGACAAUGGCUUCAAGAAAUCAUUCAGGCGGGACCUCAGUCACAUUCGCAUGCCCGUCACUCCCAGAGCCCCUGUAGAUCCCACUCUGCUGUGAUUCAGGGACCCUUGGGCCCCCAGCUUGCACAUGCCUAGACAGGAGCAGGCCACUAGGUGCUGCCCUACACAACAGGCCAGUGCAGUGUUUGUUCUCAGGGACCCUGGGGCCUCCAUCCCACUGGCUGGAUAGUGUGUGCAGUCAGUUGGAGAGCAGAAACUACAAUAUUUUCUGAAAUGUGGUAAUAUCAAGAUAUAAGAGGCACAUAUACGUGAUGACUAAUUUCACUUCAGAUAUACUGGAAAAGUUUGCUAAGAACAUGGACAAAGACCUGUGGUUGAGUAACGAGUCAUUUCAUUCCAUGGAAUAUUACACACCUGUAAGACUGUGGUAGAUCUACCUCUGCAUGCAGGCUGAUAGGGAAGGUUGCUAAUAUACUUAAGUGAAUAGAAUAAAGUACAAAACAGUCAAGUGUGUUCUUGUUUGUAUAUACUUAAAGGUCAGUUACGGUGGCAGGGGUGUGUGAAGCUCAGUGGUAAAAUGCACACAGCAUACAGGAGGCCUAGAGCCAAAAAACCCUGUAUCAACCAUAAGUAUGUCUGCAUGAAUGGUUGGCAAGCAAGCCCUGCCCAGCAGCCUCCAGGAAGCAGGAGGCCUUUCCUCCUGUGUCUUUGUGUUUGUUUUCUCUCUGCGUUUGUGAAGCACUUUUAUUGAAAAAAAGAAAGGAUAGUAAUCACUUAAUAGGUGUAACUUCUCUCAGCCAACGAAGGGCAUGCACUCCAAGACAAGGUGGUGAUGUGGCUGAGAAGUGUCUUGACAGUACUGGUGGCCUCUGGCCACUGGCGGUUCUCCAACCACAUGUCAUCAUCAUGACUGCCACUGUUAAUCGAAAGCCCACUUAGUCCCAGGGUUAGUUCUCUGGUUCCUGCUUAGGUGAGUGUCCUAGUAUUUCAGUCUAGCCAAUGCAGGAGACUGAAUGGGGAAAUCAGUGGGUUUCUCCAAGCUGUUUGGGUCAAGUCAGUAUCCUAGAGUGGGUAAGGCAAGUGUGGGCUCUGAUUUCCCUCUGGGAGGACCUGUUUUGAGGAGGGGGCUUGUGGGCUGUGUUGAUUAUGAGUGAGCACUCCUACUUGCUUUAGCCCAGUGGAGGUGCCCUGCUGGGGACAGGCUGGCUUCAGGAGUUGACUGUCUCUGAACCACUCCAUCUGCAUACACACAGCAAGUAUUCAGAGACACCACCGGACUUUGCUGCUCCCAGUGUUAAUCAAAAGCCUGGCCUUGCCCUCAAAGGAGUAAAUUGCUGAGGGCAUCUGGAAAGCGCAAUGUGGAGCUGAGCACUGAGUCUUGGAGCCAACAUCCUGUGGAGCUCUGUCUGCGUUGGGCCCUGAUGCCUGGGAGUGGGCAAGGAAAGAUCGCAGUAGAGUUGACCAGAAGAACCUGGGAGACCCAUGGAGGUCCCUGGGCUUAGAUGGCAGCUUUGAAAGUCAGGAGGAAAGCAACUAGGGGUGGGGCUGUCACCAGGUCUCUUACUUUGGUGCAGUGAGUCUUAGUUUUAUAAGGUGCUGGUACACUCAUUUUACAGGUGACAUUUAAGUUCAGAAAUGUUGCUACAUGUCCCAGGUCACAGUUAAAAACUGCCAGAACUGAGAUUUAACACCUACCCCAUUGGUUGCGGUCUGAAUUCAUAACCCCAAAUUUAUUCUUUUUGGCUGAGCCACUUAAGAGAGGUCUCCUGAGCUCCAAGCCUUCCUAGCCAGUUCCAUACAUAGAGACAUAGAGACUUCUGCCUUCAAGGUUCCCCCAGUAUCUUGCCUGGGGUCUUCCCUAAUUCCACCUAAUUUUAUCUGUGAGGUAUACUAAGCUUUGGAACCUGGACCUAGAGCUGGAGAAGAAAUCCAAAGCCAUAUACAGACUGGGGCCCUUCAGUUAGUGUUGCUAUUAGCACUAAUGCUAUUUGCUUCCUGAGUCCGGUCAUCUGCAUUGUGCAGAUGCGCUCUCUUUCUUCAGGUCCUUGACCCUAAAGCCUGAUGGGAGGUCAAGGAUGCUCCAGGGCCUACCCCUUGCUUCUCAGAGCUGGAUCUGCUGAGGGCUGCAGCAAGCCUAAGACUGGAGGAUCAGGCAUGGGAGAGCAAAAGGAAUAACCAGGCUUAGAAAUCAUUGGAACUCUUACUUCAGGACAACCCUGAGGGAUGAUUAAGCCAAAUUCUGAGAGAGAAGCACUCUUCUGACCCUGGGAAACCUCUGCCUCUUUUACCCCAGCUCACAACUAAUAAAAGUUCGAAAAACUUAUGUCUCUAAUCACUUUUCUUUCCCUCUAGAGGGACAAGAGCAAGAAAAGCCAGAUUCAGCCACUAGCAAAGACAGCUCGUGGUGCUUUGUCAUGUGAUGGGAAGGGUGGAGUCAGAAGCUUCAGAAAGCCCUAGAAAGUCAUCUCUGACAAGGGCCAAGGUCACCAGGGCAGCCAGCAGUCUAUCUUGCUUUGAAGCUGGAGAGUAUAGGCAUUCUGCUCUCCUAAGAGGGGAGCUGGAGGUUCUGUCCCAGUCUGCUCCUAAGCCUCCAGUAACGCUUCCUCAGUUUCCACCCUGAUCCCAUAUGGCAAUCACAUCGUCCACACUAGGAAACUGAGGCUCAGAGAGGCUUAGAAACUGGAAACCGGUGUCCCUGGGCUCCUGAUCUCUACAAUCCGAAUGGGAAGUGGGGGUGGGGGUGGAGGUCAUGAUGCUCCAAAAGCCUUUGACAGGUUUUUUCAUGUACGCGCAAAUCACAAUCCUGCUUUCAUCAGUUUUCAUUCUCACAGGCCCUUGGACCCCCAGACAAUAAUUAACACUUUCUGGUUCCCAGCGCAGCUCUAAGUGCCUGCGUGAUCCCCAAUCACAUUUAAUCCCCAGACGCUGGUGUGCAUAGCUGGCACCAUCCAUCCUUAUUCCCAUCUAAGCUAUGGAGAGGGCAAGGACCAAGAAGCUGUUCAAAGUGGCCAGUGUGUGUGUGUGUGUGUGUGUGUGUGUGUGUGUGUGUGUGUGUGAAAUGUGAGCAGCAGAGGAAUGCCUGUCUGUCCAGAUGCCAGGCGCUUACCCAUUGCCUCUCUAAAAGCGUGGUGGCUGGCCAUCCUGAUUUGGUCCUAAGAUUAUAAAUGAAAAAUUCUCUUGCCGAUUCACAGCAGCCUGAACCACAGGAUAGUCAGAGCCAUAACCAUCUACUACCAGGCGGCACUCCCCGGGGCGCUGGGAUCCUGCGUCCCGGCUGGAGCCCCAGGGCACCGGGAGGAGCCAAGAUCCUGGGCCUGGAGGAGAGGACUAGGAGGCGGGCGGCACAAAGAGCUUUUUAUUCAAAUUUGUUUAGAGUUUCGCGAAUUUGCAUGAAAAAUGUGUGAGAAAAGCCAGCUCCGGUGACCUCAUCCGCACCUGCCAUUAACGUUCAAUUAGCGGCUGAAUAGUGGCUGCCGACGCGACGUGCAGAGAAUCCUGCCUGCCCCGCGCAGCUCGGCGGCUGGCGGGGCGCGGGAUCGGGAGGAGGGGCGCGGCGAGACUCAGGGCUCCGCCUGCGGCUCGGGGCCCCAACACCGAGGGCCUCCGCACCCCUAAUCUCAAAGGACCCCAGAACCCCAGAGCCCUGGAGCACUAGGCAGUUUGGGGCGAGUCGGAGCCUUGGAGUGCAGGCUCUCCGGGUCUGCCGGACCGGUGGUGGCGGACGAGUCCUGUCCCGGCUCAGACAGGCUUCCUCACCACCUUCCGGACAAAGUGUCAAGUACAAGUUCAAGUUCAGGGGUUGGCCCCAGGAGGAAGGGGGUGGGGGGAGCCAUCCCCAGCUGCCUUUGUUCUCCGGGAUAAGCGCUCUCACGUCCCCGUCCCGGGCGGGGCUCGGCAGAUACCCCCGCCCCGCCCCGCCGCGCCCCGCAGGAGCCACCUCCUCCCGCCCGCACGGCGCCUGUGCCUGGGUCCCGGCGACCCUCCUCAGGGCCACCGAAAGGUCUUGGGGCUUGGGGCGGGGGCGGGGGGGGCGGUCCCUGCCCGUGGGAGCCUCCCCGGCCCCGCAGUCCCAGCAGCAAACUGCGCUUGGUCGGACGGGAUGCCCGCGCAGAGGGAAGUUGAGAGAAGGUAUGCCUUUGGAGACUGGAAACCUGGAGGUCAUUUCUGAGCAAGAAUUCCGGGAAUCCUAAAGGUCUUCAAUCUCUGCUCGCAGCACCUGGGUAGACAUGGUUCCAGGGAGGAGCCUGAGUGGGUGAUUCAGUUCCAGAGCCGCAGUAGUAGCACCACCCAAACUUGGAAAAAGAAUCAUGUUGAUCGCCAGAGAAGGAAUCUCAUCGGAAGUAGACUUCAUUCAGAGGGGCGCCAGUAGCAAAGAGGCUCCUGGAUUGCAUCCUGACUGCCCUGGAGGGAGGAUGUGACCAUUGGUGUAGGAGGCGACGAGACAACCUGGUCAGCAGAGAUGUAUCACAGCGGUACACUCUCCCAGCACUUUCCCACCCACAACCCGCGUCAGACCUGGCUUCAUCUUUAAUCCUCCAGCCUUGGGAAUGACAGACCUACCUCAGAGGUCUUGCCUGCCCUCGCGCCCUCCCCAACCCCCCACCGCGUCCCGGAUUCCUGUGGUGCAGUGCGGGGGGGGGGGGGCUUGUGUUCACUCACAGAGGCCGUCAGACACGGUGCGCGGUAGUUUUCUUCACUUUAGAAGGUAGCAAACUGUUUUCAAAGGUGGGAUAUUUUCAGAAGAAGGAUUCCAAGAAUCAUUCCCCUAGAUAUCGGGCUCUGUGGGACGCGCUGGGCGUAGGUCUGUUCAGGUCACAGAGCUUCGCAAGCCUAGCCCGCAGAGAGCUGUUCUUUUAGUGGUGCUGAAAGCGAGGCCAGCUCUGCCGAGUUGCCUACAAGCUGUCUAUAACUCAGCCACUACCCUCCUUCCUGCUUAGAGUCACAGGCUGAAUGGUUCACUAUUGUCUGGCAACAAAUCGCGGUAGCCACCUAAUAGAUCUGAUUGUUUCCAGUUACAAUGUCCCCCUUCCCCAAUCCUUUCUUCACUGAGCACCGAGUGAUCUUUCCUUGUUGGUUUGAGUGUUUAAAAAUUAUGCUUAUCUAUCUAUCUAUUUUUUUUUUCGAGACAGGGUUUCUAUGUGUAGCCUUGGCUGUCCUGGAACUCUGUCCACCAGGCUGGCCAUAAACUCAGAAAUUUGCCUGCCUCUGCCUCCCAAGUCUUGGGAUUAAAAGCAUGCCUGGAUGCUUAAUUAUUAUUAUUUUUUUAAAGUGUGGGGUAUAUUUUCUGCUUGCAUAUAUGGUGCCCAAGGAGGCCUGAAGAGGGCAUUGAAUCUUCUGGGACUGGAAUUGCAGAUGAUUCUGAGCCAUCCCUCAGGUGUGUGUGUGCUAGGACUCAAACCUGUUUCUCUGGGAGAUUAGCCAGUGCUCAAAGCCAUUGAGCCAUCUCUCCAGCUCCUCUCCUUUUGUUCAGACAUGCCCCAUGUAUCACAGGCUGAGGCUGACCCGGCAAUUCUGAGCCUCUGACUUCCACCAGCUAGGAUUGCAUGAGGCCAGUGUGUGCAUGCUCUUCUCGCUCCCUCUCGGGAUGCACGAGCCAGGCUCGUGCUAGCCUGCUAAGCUACACCAGCAGCACUAGAGCAGCUCCGACUCCCCUCACAGUCUCUGCUUCCCUUCCCUUCUUUUCUUUUCUCUUUUCCUUUUUGAGACAAAGUCUCGGUUUAUAGCCCAGGCUGGCCUGAAACUUUCUACAUAGUCUGAGAUAGCCUAAAAUCUGCAGUCCUCCUGCCUGUGUCUUGCAAGUGCUUGGUUUACAGCUAUGGGUCACCAUGCCCAGCUAGAGUGGCAAUGAUCAAGGGGCAAAAGUGAUCACCCGUGAAGUCCAUCUAGUCUUGAUGUCAUGCAAAAUAAAGCAAAGUUCUUGCCACAGUGAAGAGGUUCCUUUCUCUGACAAUCAUCUAGUGCCUGCCUCCUAUCACCUGUCAAGAUGGAGCCACUGCCAAGCCCUGGCUUAAUUCUAGUGUGUUGAAGAUUUGACAUUAAGAUUCAACAGGGAACCUGGAUUGUGGUAAAUGCCUUUAAUCCCAGUACUCGGGAGGUAGAAACAGGCAGAUCUCCGAGCUCAAGCCAAGCCUGGUCCACAGAGUGAAUUCUAGGACAGCCUGGGCUACACAGAGAAACCCUGUCUCUAAACAAAACAACAAACAAACAAACAAGGAUUUGCCAAGAGGUGGGAGGUGAGUCAUGGGAAGAACUGUGAAGCCAGGCGGUCUGUGGUGGUGCUCAUUAUCCAGACCUGCGUGUCAUCCUCCAAAAGUACAUCACGGCGAGAUGGCAGGGAGGCUCUGGUAGCAUCCAAUGAUGCUGAGCAGAGUGAUUCUGCUGCUCAGGACUUUACCCACUUUCUGACAUGCUUUGCCCCUACCCCACGCCCGUUUCGGGGGAGGAAGCACAUGGCAGAUGUGAAGUGAGUGGCCCAGGGUCACACAGCUAGACAGUCACAACUCCGACUCCAGAGGAACAGGGAGCCCAGAGACUUCAUCUCCGGCAGAGGCGUGAAGGUGCCGACCCUGGGACCAGACAGCCUGUGUGUAAUCCCAACUCUGCCAGUUAAGGACUCAAUCUCCCCGUGGCUGUGUUUCCUCGUCAGAAGAGAUGGUGGUCCCCCUGCUAGCCUCACUGGGAAGACUGAGGAGAUAGUCCUGCAGUCAUCAGUGCUGUUCUGAAUCUGAGCUCCUCCCUGACCGUGGCGAGCAAGUCCAGAAGGCAGGCUGAGAAUUUCUUGCCUCAUCAUCCUGGAUGUGCGGGAGCCGAAAGGGCAGAGGACAGAGGAGGGGCCGCGUGACUGCCUAGGCUCCUAAGCAAUUUACUGGAGGAGCUCAUUUGGCAACUCUGAUUCCAAGUUAAUUAAAGAUGGCCACUAGGGGUCAUUGCCAUGGUGACAAUUAGGCCAGAAAGAAGCCUCAUUAAGGUGCGGUUUUAACUAGGCCAGUCGUUUUUAACCUAAGGUCUGUGGGAAAGGGAGUCAGCUUGCCCCCCCCCCCCCCUCUCUCCUCCGUGUUCAGAUCCGUUUCCAGGCAGUUCUGGCUGAGGAUGGAGGCAGAGGAGGAGUCCUGAGCUGAGCCCCCCUGAGUCCCAGCAGGGCAACAGGUUUCUCUGUGGCACUCACCCUGUCUGUGAGGCAGAAGCCUUAGGGUGGGUGGAGGCCAUGAUGCCAGAGCAGGCAGAGAAGAGGGGGAUUUUAUUCAGAGUGGCCCGGGAGACCUUAUCACCCAAUCUGCUUCCCAAACUGAGUGAGGGGAGCCAAGCCGAGCUGUGGGUGAUAAUGGAGCACAUGAAACUUAUUUCUUCUGUGUUGAAUUGAGAAUGCCAGGAGCUUAAAGCCUGUCUCAGUUCACAGCACUGUAAUGUGUUUGAGCUAGGCAUGGCGGUACCCACCUCCUAUCUCAGGACUAAGACAAGAAGAUAGUGACAUCCUGGCCAGCCUCCGCCACAUAGUGAGAUUCUGUUUCAUGGAGGUAGAGUGAGUGUGUGUGUGUGUGUGUGGGGGGGGGGGGGAACGACACAAGAGUAGUGAGAUGGCUCAGCCUUUAACUUGCUUCUCUCUCUCUCUCUCUCUCUCUCUCUCUCUCUGCUUUUUUGUUUGUUUUGUUCGUUUUAGCUUUUUGUUUGUUUUUUGUUUUGCUUUUUGUUUUUGCUGUUGUUGAGACAAGGUUUCUCUGUGUUAGUCCUGGAACUCACUCUGUAGAUCAGGCUGGCCUCGAACUCAGAAAUAUGUCUGCCUCUGCCUCCCAAGUGCUGGAAUUAAAGGCAUGUGCCACCACUGCCUGACAACUUGCUUCUCUUGAAGUGGGCCUGCCUGGGCUUGGUACUGGAACCCACAUGGUGGCUUAUGAAGUCUGUAACUCCAGUUCCAGGGAACCUGGUGCCCUCUUCUGGUCUUUAUGGGCACCAGACAUGCUUUUCAUGCAAUUAUCUACAUGCAAGUGAAAACUCUCAUACCCAUAAGAUAUAAAUAGAUUAAUCUCUCUUAAAGAAAUCAAGAGGCUGGGCUGAAGGGAUGCUGAGAGCACUGGCUGCUCUUCCAGAGGACCAGGGUCCAGUUCUGAUGCCUUCCUCAGGCCUCCCCAGAAACUGCAAGGGUGUGGUGUACAGACUUACACAGGACAAACAACCAUGCAUGUAACAAUAAGUAAAUAAAUACUUUUUUAAAAAAUCAAGGGGCUGUGGAAAUGCCUCAGUCAAUAAAGUAGUUUCCAUAGAGGCAUGAAGAACGGAGUUACAAUCUACAACCUCUACAUAAAAAACCAGGAGGACUGGUGGGCAUCUGUAAUCCCAGGGCUGGGUAGACAGAGCCAGGUACAGUUCUGGAGCUCACCGACUAAUACAGCCAAGUGAAUCCAUAUCAAUGAGAAACCCUGUCUCCAGAAAUAAAGUAGAAGAUUCGGAGAGAUGACCCACCAGCUAAAAGCGUUUGCUAUACCUGGGGACUGGGGUUUGGUUUACCAGCCCCACACAGUGGCUCACGACCAUCCAUAACUCCAAUUCCAGGGGAUCCAGUGACCUCGUCUGACCACCAAGGACAGAAAGCAUGCGUGUGGUGCACAUACACACAUGCUGUCAAAUCACAGACACAUGGAAAAGAAAAAACAAAGAAAUCUUUAAAAAUAAACAAGACGGAGAGUAACUAAGGAAGACCCUUGACUGCAUGCACGUGUCCAGUGUGCACCUGAAUAUGUCUGAGUUCACUCAACACACACAUAUGCAUAUGCUACACACAAAGAAGUAAAGAAUAUGUUCUCUGCUCAAUAGUGAUAUAAAUGCACUGAUGAGAACAGGAAGUCCCAGGUAAGCACAAAGAGAGACCACCCCCUGACAUACACCACCCUGGACACGAUGUCUGCUGACACUGUCCAUAUAGUAAGCAGAGCGCAGCCUACAGGGAGCUGGGUCCAAAGACUGGAGAAGGGGGACCUGGGUUUUGGUGUUUGUGACCUUUUCAACUGUUUGUACUUUAUCAGGAAAAUGUCAAAUAAACUGCAGUGGAAACACCAGCUAACACCACAUCCCUCUGAGUAUGGAGAUGCACCACACGCUUUUCUUGACAAAAAUGGGGGUCGAAUUGUACCUAUGAUUUUGAAACCUGAAUUUAUCACGUCAAGAUAACAAGAUGUCUUUAAUGCUUUCCCAGGAUGUUGCAACUUCUUAUCUUUUUUUUUUUUAAAGCACAUUGCAAACUAUUCAAACUGCAAAGGCUAAAAAACAGACAAGCAAAGCUUCUUACCUGAGCUUCCCUGCGCCCCCCCUCCUCCCCCGGAGCAGCCUUGAAGAUCCAUUUCUUUUUCCUUCCUUCCUUCCUCCCUCUUCCCUCCCUUCCUCCUUUCCUCCCCUCCCUCCCUUCCUCUGCUUUUUCCUCCCUUGCUCCCUCCCUCCUUUCCUUCCUUCCUUCCUUCCUUCCUUCCUUCCUUCCUUCCUUCCUUCCUUCCUUCCUUCCUUCCUUCCUUCUAGCCCAAGCUGGCUUUGAACUUAGCAAAUAGCUGAAGAUAACCAUGAACUUCUAAUCUGCCUACCUCCACCUUCAGAGUACUGAUACUACACACACGGAAUUAAUUGAGUUAAUUAUCACCAGAAAACUUUUCACCAAAUUACACUGUGCGUAAAUAUGUCCAAAAUAAGCCACCCAAGAUCAAGUUCUUGAAGUUUGAAGCAGCACUGGUUACUGUGUUGAACCUGAACCGUUCUUGCCUGUCUUGCACCAUUGUGUGGCUGGCUGUGGUGUUCACAGAGAAGCCCAUAAAUGCGUUGAUGUGGAUCAAACCCAGGGCUUUUAUGCAAGCUGGGCAAGCACACUACCAAGCGAGACGCAUCCCUAGGUCUUUCAUAUCCAUUUCUCUUGCAUUUAUCUGUAAGCGUUCUAUGUGGGUACAGGCACAGGUAUUUUCUUGUAUAUCUAUUUGUGCAACACAGUUCACCUGUUCUGUCUUUGACUUUUUUCCAUGGCACGUCUUGGGGCUGGCUUCAUAUCAGUGUGUAUAGAGCUGAGAGCUGUCUUGAUCUUUUUCUAAUACCUGGCAGUCUGCAGCAGCUAGGCAUCAUGUAAGAAGAGGUGUCUCUGGCCACGUAGUCUUUGUGUCUAUUAUUAAACAGGGUAGUCAACACACAGAAGUACUCUAGAAAUGGUCACAGCAGAUAAAAAUGUAGGGAAAUGAUGGGAGGGGCUAAAAGAGUGAUCAGGACCUCAUGGAUGGAUCUGAGGCCUCGAUGGAAGCUUUGGCUUCCUCUCCUCUGGGAUAUGAUCCCCCUAGGAACCUCACAUAAGAGCUGGCUUCCCCAUAGGGGUCUUUAUCUCACACGUUAGGAUGACCACUGGCAGGACAGCCUUGGAUACCAUAUCAUGGGUCAAAGCUCACUGAGGUCACUGAAGACUCGCAUCUUCCAUCUCUUUUUUUGCACACUGAUUUUACCUUCAGGAAUAUUUUCGUGAUCAUAGGAUGGCAGCCAGUGGCCACCCAUAUCACGGAGGGUGUAUACUUCCCUACAGAGAGUGAAAUGUUCCACCAAACUCACAAAGCCAUAACCGAAGGAAAAGAGACAUCGGCGUGCAUCAACCACUCUUAAUCCUUCAGUGCCCCCUUUCCAUAACAACUCUUCCUAUCCUGAUGAAAGCUGUAGAAAACACAUCUCACACAUUGACUUAAAAUAAAUCAAAGGGCUGUAGAGAUGGCUCAGCAGUGAAGAACACUUGCUGCUCUUGGAGAGGACCAGAGUUCAAUCUCUAGCACCUACACAGUGCUUUACAAUUAUCUGUAACUCUGACUCCAGGGGAUCCAAUGCCCUCUUCUGGCUUUGUGAGUGCUGGGCACACAAAUGGUGCAAAGACAUACAUGCAGAUAAAAGCACUUAUAAACAUAAAAUCAAAGUAAACGAAAUCUUCAAAAAAUAUCAAUAUAAGUUUCUAAGAAUAAACAAACCCCAUACAAAGUCUGGUUUGGUGGAAUGAAUCCAUAGUCCAAGCAACUUUGGAGGGUGGGGAAUGAAGACAUGAAUCCAGGGGGUUGUGACCAGAUUGGAUCAAAUAGCCAGAUGAGCAGCAUCUGUGAUGGUUAAUCUUCAUUGUCAAUUUAGCUGCACUUAGAGUCCCCUAGGAGGGGCUGGAGAGAUGGCUUAGCAGUUAAGAACACUGGCUGUUCUUCCAGAGGACCCGGGUUCAAUUCCCAUCAGCACAUGGCAACUCACUUGCUUUGUAGACCAGGCUGGCCUCAAACCCACAGAGAUCCACCUGUCUCUGCCUCUGCCUCCUGAGUACUAGGGUUAAAGACACAUACCAUCAUGCCCGAUCAAGUGACCUUAGUUUUAAUAUUUUGUUCUUAUUACUUUAAAAUCAUAUAUAUGUACGUACAUCUGUCUGUGGGUAUGCACAUUGUAAGUGCCAUUGUCCUGAGAGGUCAGAGGCAUUGGAUCCCCCUGGAUAUGAACCCACAGGUGAUUGUGGGCCCCAUGUGUGAUGGCUUCUAUAUGUUUGGGCCAAAGAAUGGCACUAUUAGGAGGCGUGGCCUUGUUGAAGUGGGCGUGGCCUUGUUGGAGUAGGUGUGUCACUGAGGGCGUGGGCUUUAAUACCUUUAUCCUAGCUGCCUGGAAGCCAGUCUUCUCCUAACAGCCUUCAGAUGAAGAUGUAGAACUCUCAGGUCCUCCAGUUCCAUGCCUGCCUGAACGCUGCCAUGCUCUCACCUUGAUGAUAAUGGACUGCACCUCUGAACCUGUAAGCCAGCCCCAAUUAAAUGACCUUAUAAGACAAAAAAAAAAAAAAAAAAAAAAAAAAAAAA
rnacentral:lncRNA from 1 species